GGGAAAAAGACCCCCCACACGCACUUCCCAUCAUGGCCUCCCUCAGUGAUGUAGCUCACUUAGCUACAUUGGCCUGUGUUCCCUGGGGCAACUCCUGAGCUCCAAGCCCUAGCUGGACAAAGUUUCUUGUCUCCCAUAAACGAGCAGACCUCUCCCUGAGGGUAAGAGGCAUAUGCAGAGAUAGAAACUGAGGAAAGAGAGACCUAGUAGGGGUCUGUGCAGAGGAUCCCAGAUCCUCUUAGGGGAUCUUUGUACCUAGCCACACCACGAGCUUGACUGCCCCUCAGGAAAACAACCAAAACCCUUGGUGGUCCCAAGAAUAGGAUGGUGUCUCCCUCUACUGCAUAUCAUAGGAACUACAAGCAUCGGAGAACGGAGGGGCGGGAGGCUUGGGUCUCUGUGCUUCCUGGGUGAAAGCCCAGAUGCUAGAAGGAUCAGGUGAGAACUGUGAGUAAGCUGUGAGGCCGGAGACUGUGAGACCAUCCAGCACAGUGAGAAUGACAGCCUUGUGGUCAGAUGGUACAGAGCACAGAAGUGUUCAGCAACUUUCCCAGGGGCGCACAGAAAGUGGUGGAGCUGGGUUCUCAUCCAGGCAGCUUGGCUUUGGGAUCUGGGUUUUCCUCAACGCUGCACAGGCAAGUGGAGACAUUCCUUACCUUGAAGGAGAAUGGAAUGAACUGCAAUCCCAGGACUUGGGAUAGGCUGAGCCAGGAGGAUAUAAGAUCAAGGCAAGUCUGAGCUGCAUAGUUUGGGACCCUGCCAAAAAAAAAAAAGAAAAAAGAAAAAAAGA